GAUGAACGCUGGCGGCGUGCUUAACACAUGCAAGUCGAACGGAAAGGCUCCUGCUUGCAGGGGUACUCGAGUGCGAACGGGUGAGUAACACGUGGGUGAUCUGCCCUGCACUUCGGGAUAAGCCUGGGAAACUGGGUCUAAUACCGGAUAGGACGAUGGUUUGGAUGCCAUUGUGGAAAGUUUUUCGGUGUGGGAUGAGCUCGCGGCCUAUCAGCUUGUUGGUGGGGUAAUGGCCUACCAAGGCGUCGACGGGUAGCCGGCCUGAGAGGGUGUACGGCCACAUUGGGACUGAGAUACGGCCCAGACUCCUACGGGAGGCAGCAGUGGGGAAUAUUGCACAAUGGGCGCAAGCCUGAUGCAGCGACGCCGCGUGGGGGAUGACGGCCUUCGGGUUGUAAACUCCUUUCGCUAGGGACGAAGCGCAAGUGACGGUACCUGGAGAAGAAGCACCGGCUAACUACGUG
rnacentral:rRNA from 1 species